rnacentral:rRNA from 1 species
CUACGGGAGGCACCAGUGGGGAAUCUUGGACAAUGGGCGCAAGCCUGAUCCAGCCAUGCCGCGUGAGUGAAGAAGGCCUUAGGGUCGUAAAGCUCUUUCGCCAGAGAUGAUAAUGACAGUAUCUGGUAAAGAAACCCCGGCUAACUCCGUGCCAGCAGCCGCGGUAAUACGGAGGGGGUUAGCGUUGUUCGGAAUUACUGGGGGUAAAGCGCGCGUAGGCGGAUUAGUCAGUCAGAGGUGAAAUCCCAGGGCUCAACCCUGGAACUGCCUUUGAUACUGCUAGUCUUGAGUUCGAGAGAGGUGAGUGGAAUUCCGGGUGUAGAGGUGAAAUUCGUAGAUAUUCGAAGGAACACCAGUGGCGAAGGCGGCUCACUGGCUCGAUACUGACGCUGAGGUGCGAAAGUGUGGGGAGCAAACAGGAUUAGAUACCCGGGUAGUC